GACAGAGGGGGCAAGCGUUGCUCGGAAUUACUGGGCGUAAAGGGCGCGUAGGCGGGAUGGCAAGUCGGUCGUGAAAUCCCUCGGCUCAACCGAGGAACGUCGAUCGAUACUGCUGUUCUUGAGGAUUGCAGAGGAGACUGGAAUUCCCGGUGUAGCGGUGAAAUGUGUAGAGAUCGGGAGGAACACCGGUGGCGAAGGCGGGUCUCUGGGCAAUUCCUGACGCUGAGGUGCGAAAGCGUGGGGAGCAAACGGG
rnacentral:rRNA from 1 species